rnacentral:lncRNA from 1 species
CAUGCCGGUUCCCUACCGAUACGGUAUGGUACGGAGUGUACUGACCGGUUCGGACCGCUAUGGACUACCAUGCUCUAGAGGCUGUUAGAGGCCCACUACACCCACCGGAGGGCCAAUAAAGAGUGGGGAGGGAAAAGGAAAGAGAGAAAAAGAGAGAGGAGGGAGGAAGGAGAGGAGAGAGGGAGAGAGAGCCGCCGAAGACCUGCCAAGGUUGUUGG